AUUGAACGCUGGCGGCAUGCCUUACACAUGCCAGUCGAACGGCAGCACGGGUGCUUGCACCUGGUGGCGAGUGGCGAACGGGUGAGUAAUACAUCGGAACAUGUCCUGUAGUGGGGGAUAGCCCGGCGAAAGCCGGAUUAAUACCGCAUACGAUCCACGGAUGAAAGCGGGGGACCUUCGGGCCUCGCGCUAUAGGGUUGGCCGAUGGCUGAUUAGCUAGUUGGUGGGGUAAAGGCCUACCAAGGCGACGAUCAGUAGCUGGUCUGAGAGGACGACCAGCCACACUGGGACUGAGACACGGACCAGACUCCUACGGGAGGCAGCAGUGGGGAAUUUUGGACAAUGGGCGAAAGCCUGAUCCAGCAAUGCCGCGUGUGUGAAGAAGGCCUUCGGGUUGUAAAGCACUUUUGUCCGGAAAGAAAUCCUUGACUCUAAUACGGUCGGGGGAUGACGGUACCGGAAGAAUAAGCACCGGCUAACUACGUG
rnacentral:rRNA from 1 species